UACAGAGGUCUCAAGCGUUGUUCGGAUUCAUUGGGCGUAAGGGGUGCGUAGGUGGCGCCGUAAGUCGGGUGUGAAAUUUCGGAGCUUAACUCCGAAACUGCAUUCGAUACUGCGGUGCUUGAGGACUGGAGAGGAGACUGGAAUUCACGGUGUAGCAGUGAAAUGCGUAGAUAUCGUGAGGAAGACCAGUGGCGAAGGCGGGUCUCUGGACAGUUCCUGACACUGAGGCACGAAGGCCAGGGGGGCAAACGGG
rnacentral:rRNA from 1 species